rnacentral:lncRNA from 1 species
GACUUAAUUCAAAUAAUAUGCAAGUCAUGAUAAUUCUAAGAUAACGAUCCCUGAAGGAUUCUACAAGUCGGCACAAGGCCCCAAGCGUGGCAUCAAGCCAGAUAUCAUCAAUAUAGUAUGCGAAGCAAUCGCUAACAUAGUACAACCUAUCCUUCAGAUUGGACCGAGUCACAAUAUUCAACAUAUACGACCCCACACUAACCAUGGAGUGCGUGUCCAACCUCAUAAUAGCGUCACAAUGUGAUACACUAUGAUUUCAAACCCUCAGGUCAUCAUCUACACUCAUUACUCACCACAAGGCGGCCGCAAACUAGCUCGCAAUGCCUUUCCCUCGAGAAUCAACAUCCGCGGAUGCUAAAUCUUUUCGCGGGCAGCGAACUGAGGGCGCCGUCAAGAAGAUCUUCGACUUUGGCUUAGCUCUUUCAGAAGAUCGUUAAAUGCGGAUACAACAAAUAAAUAAAUAAAAGCUUUGCAAGGCCAUGGAUUAAAUAGAGGUCAAAAAGCAUAGAAAGGUUAAAGCUGGAUUUGAGAGAGCAAGGAAGAAGAUAAGCUUUGAAUAAUCAGC